rnacentral:rRNA from 1 species
AGCGGCGAGCGAACGGGGAGGAGCCCAGAGCCUGAAUCAGCAUGUGUGUUAGUGGAAGCGUCUGGAAAGGCGCGCGAUACAGGGUGACAGCCCCGUACACAAAAGCGCAUGUGCUGUGAGCUCGAUGAGUAGGGCGGGACACGUGGUAUCCUGUCUGAAUAUGGGGGGACCAUCCUCCAAGGCUAAAUACUCCUGACUGACCGAUAGUGAACCAGUACCGUGAGGGAAAGGCGAAAAGAACCCCGGCGAGGGGAGUGAAAAAGAACCUGAAACCGUGUACGUACAAGCAGUGGGAGCACAGGUUUACCUGUGUGACUGCGUACCUUUUGUAUAAUGGGUCAGCGACUUAUAUUCUGUAGCAAGGUUAACCGAAUAGGGGAGCCGGAGGGAAACCGAGUCUUAAUUGGGCGUUAAGUUGCAGGGUAUAGACCCGAAACCCGGUGAUCUAGCCAUGGGCAGGUUGAAGGUUGGGUAACACUAACUGGAGGACCGAACCGACUAAUGUUGAAAAAUUAGCGGAUGACCUGUGGCUGGGGGUGAAAGGCCAAUCAAACCGGGAGAUAGCUGGUUCUCCCCGAAAGCUAUUUAGGUAGCGCCUCGUGAAUUCAUC